rnacentral:tRNA from 2 species
UAUCAACUGGCUGGGCGAGCCGUCGCUGGCACUGAUGUCGGUAACGCUGUUGCGCGUAUGGCAGUUCGGUUCCGCCAUGGUUAUC